rnacentral:rRNA from 1 species
GGUGCUUGCACCUUAUGAAAGUGGCGCACGGGUGCCUAACGCGUAUGCAACCUACCUUUAUCAGGGGGAUAGCCCGGAGAAAUCCGGAUUAACACCGCAUAAAAUCACAGGAUAGCAUUAUCCAAUGAUCAAAUAUUUAUAGGAUAAAGAUGGGCAUGCGUGUCAUUAGCUAGUUGGCGGGGUAACGGCCCACCAAGGCGACGAUGACUAGGGGAUCUGAGAGGAUGGCCCCCCACACUGGUACUGAGACACGGACCAGACUCCUACGGGAGGCAGCAGUAAGGAAUAUUGGUCAAUGGAGGGAACUCUGAACCAGCCAUGCCGCGUGCAGGAAGACUGCCCUAUGGGUUGUAAACUGCUUUUAUCCGGGAAUAAACCUACUUACGUGUAAGUAGCUGAAUGUACCGGAAGAAUAAGGAUCGGCUAACUCCGUGCCAGCAGCCGCGGUAAUACGGAGGAUCCAAGCGUUAUCCGGAUUUAUUGGGUUUAAAGGGUGCGUAGGCGGCCUGUUAAGUCAGGGGUGAAAGACGGUAGCUCAACUAUCGCAGUGCCCUUGAUACUGAUGGGCUUGAAUGGACUAGAGGUAGGCGGAAUGAGACAAGUAGCGGUGAAAUGCAUAGAUAUGUCUCAGAACACCGAUUGCGAAGGCAGCUUACUAUGGUCUUAUUGACGCUGAGGCACGAAAGCGUGGGGAUCAAACAGGAUUAGAUACCCUGGUAGUCCACGCCCUAAACGAUGAACACUCGCUGUUGGCGAUACACAGUCAGCGGCUAAGCGAAAGCGUUAAGUGUUCCACCUGGGGAGUACGCCCGCAAGGGUGAAACUCAAAGGAAUUGACGGGGGCCCGCACAAGCGGAGGAGCAUGUGGUUUAAUUCGAUGAUACGCGAGGAACCUUACCCGGGCUUGAAAGUUAGUGACGAUACUAGAGAUAGUAUCUUGAGCAAUCACACGAAACUAGGUGCUGCAUGGCUGUCGUCAGCUCGUGCCGUGAGGUGUUGGGUUAAGUCCCGCAACGAGCGCAACCCCUAUGUUUAGUUGCCAGCAUGUAAUGGUGGGGACUCUAAACAGACUGCCUGUGCAAACAGAGAGGAAGGAGGGACGACGUCAAGUCAUCAUGGCCCUUACGUCCGGGGCUACACACGUGCUACAAUGGAUGGUACAGAGGGCAGCUAGCUGGCAACAGUAUGCGAAUCUCACAAAGCCAUUCACAGUUCGGAUUGGGGUCUGCAACUCGACCCCAUGAAGUUGGAUUCGCUAGUAAUCGCGUAUCAGCAAUGACGCGGUGAAUACGUUCCCGGGCCUUGUACACACCGCCCGUCAAGCCAUGGAAGCUGGGGGUACCUAAAGUAUGUAACCGCAAG